UCGGGAAUUUUGGGCAAUGGGCGAAAGCCUGACCCAGCAACGCCGCGUGAAGGAUGAAGUCUCUCGGGAUGUAAACUUCGUAAGAAUAGGAAGAAUAAAUGACGGUACUAUUUAUAAGGUCCGGCUAACUACGUGCCAGCAGCCGCGGUAAUACGUAGGGACCAAGCGUUGUUCGGAUUUACUGGGCGUAAAGGGCGCGUAGGCGGCAAUUCAAGUCAUCUGUGAAAUCUCAGGGCUUAACUCGGAACGGUCAGAUGAUACUGCUUUGCUAGAGUGCAGAAGGGGCAAUCGGAAUUCUUGGUGUAGCGGUGAAAUGCGUAGAUAUCAAGAGGAACACCUGAGGUGAAGACGGGUUGCUGGGCUGACACUGACGCUGAGGCGCGAAAGCCAGGGG
rnacentral:rRNA from 1 species